rnacentral:tRNA from 1 species
UGCCUUGUAGCUUAAACAGUAAAAGCACUUGCCUUAUAAGCAAGAGACAGUGGGAGCAUUACCCAUCAAGGCUA